rnacentral:rRNA from 1 species
AGAAUUCGCCCUUAGAGUUUGAUCCUGGCUCAGGAUGAACGCUGGCGGUAUGCCUAACACAUGCAAGUCGAACGGUGUCUUCGGACAUAGUGGCGGACGGGUGAGUAACGCGUGAGAAUCUGGCUUCAGGUCGGGGACAACCACUGGAAACGGUGGCUAAUACCGGAUAUGCCGAGAGGUGAAAGAUUAAUUGCCUGAAGAUGAGCUCGCGUCUGAUUAGCUAGUUGGGAGUGUAAGAGACUACCAAGGCGACGAUCAGUAGCUGGUCUGAGAGGAUGAUCAGCCACACUGGGACUGAGACACGGCCCAGACUCCUACGGGAGGCAGCAGUGGGGAAUUUUCCGCAAUGGGCGAAAGCCUGACGGAGCAAUACCGCGUGAGGGAGGAAGGCUCUUGGGUUGUAAACCUCUUUUCUCAAGGAAGAAAAAAAUGACGGUACUUGAGGAAUAAGCAUCGGCUAACUCCGUGCCAGCAGCCGCGGUAAUACGGAGGAUGCAAGCGUUAUCCGGAAUGAUUGGGCGUAAAGCGUCCGCAGGUGGCUGUGAAAGUCUGCUGUUAAAGAAUGAGGCUCAACCUCAUCAGAGCAGUGGAAACUACACGGCUAGAGUGCGUUCGGGGUAGAGGGAAUUCCUGGUGUAGCGGUGAAAUGCGUAGAUAUCAGGAAGAACACCGGUGGCGAAGGCGUCUACUAGGCCGCAACUGACACUGAGGGACGAAAGCUAGGGGAGCGAAUGGGAUUAGAUACCCCAGUAGUCCUAGCCGUAGACGAUGGAUACUAGGCGUGGCUUGUAUCGACCCGAGCCGUGCCGUAGCUAACGCGUUAAGUAUCCCGCCUGGGGAGUACGCACGCAAGUGUGAAACUCAAAGGAAUUGACGGGGGCCCGCACAAGCGGUGGAGUAUGUGGUUUAAUUCGAUGCAACGCGAAGAACCUUACCAAGACUUGACAUGUCGCGAACUUCGGUGAAAGCUGAAGGUGCCUUCGGGAGCGCGAACACAGGUGGUGCGUGGCUGUCGUCAGCUCGUGUCGUGAGAUGUUGGGUUAAGUCCCGCAACGAGCGCAACCCUCGUUUUUAGUUGCCAGCAUUAAGUUGGGCACUCUAAAGAGACUGCCGGUGACAAACCGGAGGAAGGUGGGGAUGACGUCAAGUCAGCAUGCCCCUUACGUCUUGGGCUACACACGUACUACAAUGCUACGGACAAAGGGCAGCUACACAGCGAUGUGAUGCAAAUCUCAGAAACCGUAGCUCAGUUCAGAUCGCAGGCUGCAACUCGCCUGCGUGAAGGAGGAAUCGCUAGUAAUUGCAGGUCAGCAUACUGCAGUGAAUUCGUUCCCGGGCCUUGUACACACCGCCCGUCACACCAUGGAAGCUGGCAACGCCCGAAGUCAUUACUCCAACUUUUCGGAGAGGAGGAUGCCUAAGGCAGUGCUGGUGACUGGGGUGAAGUCGUAACAAGGUAACCAAGGGCGAAUUC